CCCCGUGUGGUGUAGUGGUUUGAGUGUUGGACUAUAACUCUGGAGACCGUGGUUCAAAUCCUCACUUGGCUU